UCACGUGGACGUAAUCACAGUGAAGUUAAGAACUGAAGAACCGAUGUUACUUUUACGUAAUUACUUGUGUCGAUAUAUAUGUUAUUGUUUAUGACAUUCAAUCUCUGGGAAACGUUAGUGUUCGAAAUUAUGUGAAACCUUGUGAAAUGCGUCUAGUAUUUCAGAGAGAGAGAGAAAAACAAAACAUCAAAGGAAGAAUAUGAAAUGCUGUGGAGGAAAGCACUACUUACAACAGCUUCUUCCUAAAGCCUCUUAUGCUAUUACAGUUGGCGCACCUGAAUCUGCAUUUGCAAAAUAUAGGUGAAAAAAUUAUGAAAUGCUGUGGAGGAAAGCACUACUUAUAACAGCUUUUCCCGUAAGCCUCUUAUUAUGUGAUCACAUUUUUCCCGCCUCUGAAUUAAUUCAAAACCCCAAGAAGACGACGGCGUAUAAAAAUGGUGGACACAGGGCCUGUAUGUCUACCCUUGUGGCUUUUCGAGGUUGACAGCUGCUUACAGUAUUGGAAAACUGCUAACCAGGUGUUGCAUGUACAUCAACAAAGCUUUGAUGAACGAAUAACUUGCAUUUUGAAGGUUAACUGUUCGAAGUAUGUCAGGGAGAGGCACAGCUCCCAGUCAUUCCUCCCACGGGAAAGUAGAUUCCCAGAAGAUGUAAUAAAUGUCAUUACGAAACGUUGGAAUAAAGAACUAUGUAGAUUGGCCUGUUUCCUUCAGUCAACGCCUGAUUUGAUGCAUUCCUGAGUCGUCACCUGCCUGCCCUUUGGUUGUGUAUUCUGGACUUCUAACUGGGGCUGUUGCUGCCGACCUGCCUCUUCACAAAUGGAUCUUCGCAGUUUCUUUUACAUCUUCCUUUUCCUAAAACAAGUCAGAUCGAGGGGAUUCCCUCACUCCCAUCAACUCGUAGGUCGUCGUUAUGGAGUGGAAUCGCUGGCAAAAUGUCGAACCCUGGAGAAAACUUAUAAAAAACUGGAAAAAGCGAAGCUGGACCUUGAUUUUCUUCAAUACUGCCAAUGUAAUAAUAUUGUUCCAAAUUUUGUUAAAUUCAAACUUUACAAAUUUACAUUUUUAUAAAGAUGCCACAAAUUGUUUGUUGAAUAUGGAAAUCAGCAAAAAACAGAAAACCAUCGAGAAACAGAACGACCUUGUUACAGGGUUGAAGCCAGAGGUGUUUAAUUCUCUUUCUUUCAUUAAUGGUGUAAUUUUUAAGAAACUUUUAAUAAAACUUGACGAUUUUAUUUCUGUAGUACAGGAGAGACACUUUAGAAAACUGAGAGGUUUGGUUAUUAUAAUUCCAAGAUUUGCUAAAGAGAGAGUAACUGUUUUCAACUUCUCAAAACAUGUACUGUCAAAACGUGAGGAGUUCUUGCUAUCUUUGGGGUUGGAGUUCUGCCUACCUAACUAUAGACCAAAUUAUACCAAAUUCUUUCUUCCAAUAGAGUCUAUCUUUCACAGAUUAUUAGUAUUACCUUUCAAAGUAAAUAAAAGUGACCUUCAGAAACAACUCUUCGAACUAUCUCAGGGUGCCUUUAGAAAAUUGAAAACACGGCGAACUCCUUUUUUCAGAAAGGAAGAUCAUGAAACACUUAAACAAUUGGCAAUUAAAGAAAACCUCAUAAUCACCAGACCAGACAAAGGAAAAGGGACAAUCAUAUUGGAAA